rnacentral:rRNA from 1 species
CCUACGGGUGGCAGCAGUCGAGAAUCUUUCACAAUGGGGGAAACCCUGAUGGAGCGACGCCGCGUGCGGGAAUGAAGGUCUCUGGAUUGUAAACUCCUGUCAUGUGGGAGAAAAUUAACAAGAGAGUAUCACUAGAGGAAGAGAGGGCUAACUCUGUGACAGCAGCCGCGGUAAUACAGAGGUGCCAAGCGUUGUUCGGAAUCACUGGGCGUAAAGGGUGCGUAGGCUGUUUCGUAAGUCGUGGGUGAAAGGUGCGGGCUCAACCCCCGGACGGCAUAUGAUAAUGGGAGACUAGAGAAAUGGAGGGGUAAGCGGAAUGCAAGGUGUAGCGGUGAAAUGCGUAGAUAUCGUGAAGAACACUAGUGGCGAAGGCAGGUUCCUGGACAUUUACUGACGCUGAGGCACGAAGGCGUGGGGAGCAAAAAGGAUUAGAUACCCUUGUAGUC